GCAGAAUCACAGACAGCAGGGUGAAGUAGCUGCUCAGCCUUCUCAUCAUCAUCACCUCUGACCUUCAGCAGUGACCUUCACUCAGGCCUCUAAUCCUCCAGGUCUGAUGGCUCCAGAAUGAGGAUGAAGAUAGCACACCGGUCACCAGAGACCCACCCCAAUCUGAACUGAAAGCUUCUCUGUGAUCACAGUGAUGGAUACAUCUAUAACUCUGUGACAUCAUCAGGAGAUCUGGAUCAAUGGAUGCUGCUUCUCAACAUCUGUCCAGACUCUUCUGGUUGUCCUCCUUCACCUCAGACCUCCAUACAUCCCUCAUCUGGUCAGACUGCAGCCUCAGCCCCAGCUCUGACAGGACUACAACCAGCCCCACUCUGUGUAUUCAUCAACAUCAUCAACAUGUGCAUA